rnacentral:rRNA from 1 species
UAUUAAUAAUUUAUUUUUUUUGUUUAAUUAUUUUAUUUUUUUAUGAAUAAAUUUUUGUUUUAGUAUAUUUUAUAGAAUUAAUUUUUUUAAUUAUAGUUUAUUUUAACAGUGAUGGAUUGUUAUUUAAUAAUUUAAAAGUAUUUUUUAUUUAUAGUACCUUUUGUAUCAGGGUUUAUUAAUUAUAAAAUAAUUAUUUUAUUUUUCCCGAAAGAAAAGGAUUUAUUUAUAUAUGUUUUUUUUUGUUUUAAAAAAAUUUUUAAUAUAUAAAUGGGAGUGAUAUGUUAUUAGUCUUUUCAUAUCUGGUUAUUUGAUAAAUAAAUUUAAUUUAGAUUAUAAAAGUUUUAUUUUAAUUUUAUUAUUUUUUAUUUUUAUAAUUUAUAUUCUUAGGGAUAAGCUUGGGAGUAAUAUAUUUAAAAGUGUUUAAUUAUUUAUAUUUUAAUAGAAUUAGAAUUGUUCAUUUUAAUUUUUAAUAAAAAGAAUAUUUAUUUUAUUUGAUUUUUAAUUUUCUUUAAAUUUUUAUCAAUUAUAUAUAUAUAAUAUAUUAAUAUAUAUUAUAAUGAUGAAAUUAGUAUUAUUUAUAAUUAAAUAUUAGGAAUUCGGCAAAAUUUAUUUUCGCCUGUUUAACAAAAACAUGUCCUUUGGAUAAUUUAUAUAAGGUCUGACCUGCCCAAUGAAUAUAUUUUUAAUGGCCGCAGUAUUUUAACUGUGCAAAGGUAGCAUAAUCAUUUGUCUCUUAAAUGGAGGCUGGUAUGAAUGGUUGGACGAGAAAUAAUCUUUCUUGUAUUUAUUAUUAAGAAUUUAAUUUUUUAGUCAAAAAGCUGAAAAUAUUAUUAUAGGACGAGAAGACCCUAUAGAAUUUUAUUUUUAUAUUAUUAUUUUUAAUAAUAUUAAAUAUAUAUAAUAAUUAAUAUAAUAAUUUCGUUGGGGUGAUGUGAAAAUUUUUUUAACUUUUCAUUUUUUUUAUCAUAAAUUUAUGUUUAUAUGAUCCAUUUUUAUUGAUUAUAAGAUUAAAUUACCUUAGGGAUAACAGCGUUAUCUUAUUGGAGAGUUCUUAUCGAUAAUAAAGUUUGCGACCUCGAUGUUGAAUUAAGAAUAUCACUAGGUGUAGAUUUUUAUGUGUUAGGUCUGUUCGACCUUUAAAUUCUUACAUGAUUUGAGUUCAAACCGGCGUGAGCCAGGUUGGUUUCUAUCCUUAAUUUUAUUUAAUUUUUUAGUACGAAAGGACCAAUUAUUAAAAUUAUAAUUUUUUUUUGUUGAUUAAUAUUAACUUUA